rnacentral:misc_RNA from 1 species
GAUGAAGAACGUAGCAAAAUGCGAUAAGUAAUGUGAAUUGCAGAAUUCAGUGAAUCAUCGAAUCUUUGAACGCACAUUGCGCCCGCCAGUAUUCUGGCGGGCAUGCCUGUUCGAGCGUCAUUUCAACCCUCAAGCACAGCUUGGUGUUGGGACUCGCGUUAAUUCGCGUUCCUCAAAUUGAUUGGCGGUCGCGUCGAGCUUCCAUAGCGUAGUAGUAAAACCCUCGUUACUGGUAAUCGUCGCGGCCACGCCGUUAAACCCCAACUUCUGAAUGUUGACCUCGGAUCAGGUAGGAAUACCCGCUGAACUUAAGCAUAUCAAUAAGCGGAGGA